rnacentral:rRNA from 1 species
UACGGAGAGUGCAAACGUUGUUCGGAUUCAUUGGGCUUAAAGGGCACGUAGGCGGUUGGCUUAGUCGGAUGUGAAAGCCCUCGGCUUAACCGAGGAAGUGCAUCCGAUACUGGCCGGCUUGAGUAAAGGAGGGGAGAGUGGAACUGCUGGUGUAGCGGUGAAAUGCGUAGAUAUCAGCAGGAACGCCGGUGGCGAAAGCGACUCUCUGGCCUUUUACUGACGCUGAGGUGCGAAAGCUAGGGGAGCAAACGGG